GACGAACGCUGGCGGCGUGCUUAACACAUGCAAGUUGAACGGAGGCUUUGUUUUCGGACGAAGCCUUAGUAGCGGACGGGUGAGUAACGCGUGAGCAACCUACCUUUGUGAGGGGGAUAACAGCUGGAAACGGCUGCUAAUACCGCAUGAGACCACGACCCCGCAUGGGGACGAGGUAAAAGAGGAAACUCGCACAGAGAUGGGCUCGCGUCCCAUUAGCUAGUUGGUGAGGUAACGGCUCACCAAGGCGACGAUGGGUAGCCGACCUGAGAGGGUGAUCGGCCACACUGGAACUGAGACACGGUCCAGACUCCUACGGGAGGCAGCAGUGGGGAAUAUUGGGCAAUGGGCGAAAGCCUGACCCAGCAACGCCGCGUGAGGGAGAAGGUCUUCGGAUUGUAAACCUCUGUCCUUGGGGACGAAGGACGUGACGGUACCCAAGGAGAAGCUCCGGCUAACUACGUGCCAGCAGCCGCGGUAAAAUAGCGUAACU
rnacentral:rRNA from 1 species